ACCAGUGCGAAGCGGCUGUCUGGUCUGUACUGACGCUGAGCUCGAAGUAUGGGUAGCAAACAGGAUUAGAUACCUGGUAGUCCAUACCGUAAACGAUGAAUGCUAAGUGUUGGAGGGUUUCCCCCUUCAGUGCUGCAGCUAACGCAUUAAGCAUUCCGCUGGGGAGUACGGCCGCAAGGCUGAAACUCAAAGGAAUUGACGGGGGCCCGCACAAGCGGUGGAGCAUGUGGUUUAAUUCGAAGCUACGCGAAGAACCUUACCAGGUCUUGACAUACUAUGCAAAUCUAAGAGAUUAGACGUUCCCUUCGGGGACAUGGAUACAGGUGGUGCAUGGUUGUCGUCAGCUCGUGUCGUGAGAUGUUGGGUUAAGUCCCGCAACGAGCGCAACCCUUAUUAUCAGUUGCCAGCAUUAAGUUGGGCACUCUGGUGAGACUGCCGGUGACAAACCGGAGGAAGGUGGGGAUGACGUCAAAUCAUCAUGCCCCUUAUGACCUGGGCUACACACGUGCUACAAUGGAUGGUACAACGAGUUGCGAACUCGCGAGAGUAAGCUAAUCUCUUAAAGCCAUUCUCAGUUCGGAUUGUAGGCUGCAACUCGCCUACAUGAAGUCGGAAUCGCUAGUAAUCGCGGAUCAGCAUGCCGCGGUGAAUACGUUCCCGGGCCUUGUACACACCGCCCGUCACACCAUGAGAGUUUGUAACACCCAAAGUCGGUGGGGUAACCUUUAGGAACCAGCCGCCUAAGGUGGGACAGAUGAUUAGGGUGAAGUCGUAACAAGGUAACCA
rnacentral:rRNA from 1 species